rnacentral:rRNA from 1 species
GAGUUUGAUCCUGGCUCAGGACGAACGCUGGCGGCGUGCUUAACACAUGCAAGUCGAACGGGAAGAGAUGAAGAGCUUGCUCUUUAUCGAAUCCAGUGGCAAACGGGUGAGUAACACGUAAACAACCUGCCUUCAGGAUGGGGACAACAGACGGAAACGACUGCUAAUACCGAAUACGUUCCACGGGCCGCAUGACCUGUGGAAGAAAGGGUAGCCUCUACCUGUAAGCUAUCGCCUGAAGAGGGGUUUGCGUCUGAUUAGGCAGUUGGUGGGUAACGGCCCACCAAACCAACGAUCAGUAGCCGGUCUGAGAGGAUGAACGGCCACACUGGAACUGAGACACGGUCCAGACUCCUACGGGAGGCAGCAGUGGGGAAUCUUCCGCAAUGGACGAAAGUCUGACGGAGCAACGCCGCGUGAGUGAAGACGGCC